CCUACGGGAGGCAGCAGUGGGGAAUAUUGGACAAUGGGGGGAACCCUGAUCCAGCCAUGCCGCGUGUGUGAAGAAGGCCUUCGGGUUGUAAAGCACUUUCAGAUGUGAGGAAAGGUGAGUAGUUAAUACCUGCUUACUGUGACGUUAGC
rnacentral:rRNA from 1 species